CUCGAUCAUCUUCCGGGACAUUUGAGCUGAAAUCAAGCGGACAGGCAGCGCAAAAACGCUGAUCAGAAAAGCCUGGCGGCAUGCUUAUUGUGAACAUCAUCACCCACGACCCGUCCAGUUCAGUAUCAGGUCUGAUCCCAUGAGAUUGAACUGCGGAGACAGAUGGUGGGCAAAAAUAUCUUCUAGCGGAUAAAUGAUUCUCCACCUUUACAUAACAUAUAUUGGUCACGUCAUGUUAUGGGAGUGAACUCAAUUCAUGGUAAGUCAUUUGCCAGAGAUCAUGACCAUGUGAUAACAG